AAGGUAGCAUAAUCAUUUGUCUUUUAAUUGAAGACUAGAAUGAAUGGAUAAACAAGAAUAAAUCUGUCUUAAUUUAAAUUAUUAUAAAUUUAUAUUUAGGUGAAGAAUCCUAAAUAAAUCUAUAGGACAAAAAGACCCUAUUGAGCUUUAUUUAAUUUUAUAUAUAAAAUUUUUUUAAAAAGGUUUAUAUAAUAAUAAGAGUUUGGUUGGGGCGACAUAGGAAUAAAAAAAUCUUCUUAUAAGAAUAUAAAAAUAAUAAAUAUCCUAGAAAAAGAAAAAAAAUUAGUUACCAUAGGGAUAACAGGCUAAUCUUUAUUGAGAGUUCAUAUUAACAUAAAGGGUUGGCACCUCGAUGUUGGCUUAAGGUAUCCGGUAGAUGAAGAAGUUUACGAUGGUUAGUUUGUUCAACUAUUAAAACCUUACGUGAUCUGAGUUCAGACCGGA
rnacentral:rRNA from 1 species